rnacentral:rRNA from 1 species
AACGAACGCUGGCGGCGCGCCUAAUACAUGCAAGUCGAGCGAGAAGACGUAGCAAUACGUUUGUAAAGCGGCGAACGGGUGAGGAAUACAUGGGGUAACCUACCCUCGAGUGGGGAAUAACUACGCCGAAAGGUUAGCUAAUACCGCGUACGCUCCUUGGACUUCGGUUCAGGGAGGAAGCGAUACCGUGGGUAUCGCGCUCUUGGAUGGGCUCAUGUCCUAUCAGCCUUGUUGGUGAGGAACGGCUCACCAAGGCUUCGA